GACAGAGGAUGCAAGCGUUAUCCGGAAUGAUUGGGCGUAAAGCGUCCGUAGGUGGCUUUUCAAGUCCGCCGUCAAAUCCCAGGGCUCAACCCUGGACAGGCGGUGGAAACUACCAAGCUGGAGUACGGUAGGGGCAGAGGGAAUUUCCGGUGGAGCGGUGAAAUGCGCAGAUAUCGGGAGGAACACCAAUGGCGAAGGCAGCUCGCUGGGACGGUACUGACGCUGAGGAGCGAAAGCGUGGGAGCGAACGAGGAUAG
rnacentral:rRNA from 1 species